UGGGGAAUAUUGGACAAUGGGGGCAACCCUGAUCCAGCAAUGCCGCGUGUGUGAAGAAGGUCUUCGGAUUGUAAAGCACUUUCGACGGGGACGAUGACGACGGUACCCGUAGAAGAAGCCCCGGCUAACUUCGUGCCAGCAGCCGCGGUAAUACGAAGGGGGCUAGCGUUGCUCGGAAUGACUGGGCGUAAAGGGCGUGUAGGCGGUUUACACAGUCAGAUGUGAAAUCCCCGGGCUUAACCUGGGAGCUGCAUUUGAUACGUGUAGACUAGAGUGUGAGAGAGGGUUGUGGAAUUCCCAGUGUAGAGGUGAAAUUCGUAGA
rnacentral:rRNA from 1 species